CGUGUAGGCGGAGAUGCAAGUUGGGAGUGAAAUCCCGGGGCUCAACCCCGGAACUGCUUUCAAAACUGCAUCCCUUGAGUAUCGGAGAGGCAAGCGGAAUUCCUAGUGUAGCGGUGAAAUGCGUAGAUAUUAGGAGGAACACCAGUGGCGAAGGCGGCUUGCUGGACGACAACUGACGCUGAGGCGCGAAAGCGUGGGGAGCAAACA
rnacentral:rRNA from 1 species